GUCUACGGCCAUGCCACCCCUGAAUAAGCCCAAUGUUUGAUCUCAGAAGCUAAGCAGUGUCGGGCCUGGUUAGUACUUGGAUGGGAGACCACCUAGGAAGACCAGGUGCUGUAGGCA
rnacentral:rRNA from 1 species